rnacentral:rRNA from 1 species
UACGAAGGGGGCUAGCGUUGUUCGGAUUUACUGGGCGUAAAGCGCACGUAGGCGGUUUGUUAAGUCAGGGGUGAAAUCCCGGAGCUCAACUCCGGAACUGCCUUUGAUACUGGCAAGCUAGAGUCCGGAAGAGGUAAGUGGAACUCCUAGUGUAGAGGUGGAAUUCGUAGAUAUUAGGAAGAACACCAGUGGCGAAGGCGGCGUUACUAGGUCCGG